GGCCUUGUAGUGUAGCGGUUAUCACUUGGGAUUCUGAUUACAUGUUCCCAAGACCCAGGUUCGAGUCCUGGCAUGGCCU